ACGAACGUUGGCGGCGUGCUUAACACCUGCAAGUCGAACGGAAAGGCCCUGCUUUUGUGGGGUGCUCGAGUGGCGAACGGGUGAGUAACACGUGAGUAACCUGCCCUUGACUUUGGGAUAACUUCAGGAAACUGGGGCUAAUACCGGAUAGGAGCUCCUGCUGCAUGGUGGGGGUUGGAAAGUUUCGGCGGUUGGGGAUGGACUCGCGGCUUAUCAGCUUGUUGGUGGGGUAGUGGCUUACCAAGGCUUUGACGGGUAGCCGGCCUGAGAGGGUGACCGGCCACAUUGGGACUGAGAUACGGCCCAGACUCCUACGGGAGGCAGCAGUGGGGAAUAUUGCACAAUGGGCGGAAGCCUGAUGCAGCAACGCCGCGUGCGGGAUGACGGCCUUCGGGUUGUAAACCGCUUUCGCCUGUGACGAAGCGUGAGUGACGGUAAUGGGUAAAGAAGCACCGGCUAACUACGUG
rnacentral:rRNA from 1 species